rnacentral:rRNA from 1 species
GAUGAACGCUAGCGGCAGGCUUAACACGUGCAAGUCGAGGGGCAGCAUGACACGGAGAUUCGUCGAAGUGUUGAUGGCGACCGGCGCAAGGGUGCGUAACGCGUGAGCAACUUGCCCGUUUCUGGGGGAUAACCGGUGGAAACGCCGACUAAUACCCCAUAGUAUUGGAUUUAGGCAUCUUUAUCCAAUUAAAGAAUUUCGGAAACGGAUAGGCUCGCGUGACAUUAGCUAGAUGGCGGGGUAACGGCCCACCAUGGCUACGAUGUCUAGGGGUUCUGAGAGGAAGGUCCCCCACACUGGAACUGAGACACGGUCCAGACUCCUACGGGAGGCAGCAGUGAGGAAUAUUGGUCAAUGGUCGGAAGACUGAACCAGCCAUGCCGCGUGAAGGUCACGGCCCUAUGGGUCUUAAACUUCUUUUGUAAGGGAGCAAUAAGGCGUACGUGUACGUCGAUGAGAGUACCUUACGAAUAAGCAUCGGCUAACUCCGUG